GCUACUAGGGACACUGAGGCAGGAGGAUUGUUUAAGCCCUGGAGUUUGAGGUUGUAGUGAGCAUGACAUCUGUAAAUAGCCAUUGCAGUCCAGUGUGGAUAUCACAGCACAACCCUGUCUUUAACAAACAAACAAUACCUCCACAAAUGACAACAAUGACAAGCACCCAGAUUGAAGAUCUAGGAUUGUUUUAUUUCUUCCUCUGCUUGCCUUUGCUCUGAAGGGGAUAAGUCAGGCAACCUGUUGGGCCUCAGUUUUGUCAUAUGAUAAAUAAAAAUAAUGGAACUAGGUGAUCUUUCGGGAACCUUUCAUUUCGAGCUGUCUUGUUUUAGUGGUACCAUGACUCUGUCUCAGAAUGUUAAAAAAUUUUCAGUAGAAAAAUUAUAGGUUGAAAUGGAUUUGAGAAUUGAAGCACGAAUUGCUGGCAGGUGUUUGCGAUAUACUUUUGGGUGCAAACUGAUGUGUUAUCCUGAGAAUGAAGAGUGAGAAGCAUUUAGAUAUCACAGUUCUUGGCUAGAAGAGGAAGGAUUGGUUAAAAAGUGUUAAAUUUGUAUCUGGUUACUGAUAUAUAUCUAAAAAUCUUAUUUGUUUGCCAAAAGUUAAGACAUAUCUGAAUUUUCUUACAUUAUAAUUGUAAUGCAGGCGCCUUCUUGCAGGUCCUCAGAAUGAGUCUUUUACACAGAAUAAUUGAUACCUCCUGAAGCCUUGGUUCAGGGGAAUCCUGGUGGAUUUCCACAUUAUCACCAUAGGCCCUUCUAUAUAAAAUGCUGAUUUGAAUGAUAUACUGUUAUUGAGCUGGUCUCUAAAAGUUGCUGGAAAUUCUCAGAAGAACGAACUUGAUUCUCAGAUACUGCCUAUGACCUUACCAAGAUGUAAAACGUAAGUCAAGCAGCACUUUCAUAAAAGCAGCACUCAAAUAUAUAAACAAAAACACUUUAAGGAGUUCUACAAUCUAGAAAAAAAUGUGACAUGUGCUGUUUUUCUUUUAUUUUUAAAAUCCACCAAUAAAACUCUCUCUAAGAGGCUUUGUCCUUUAAUCCUAGCUGAUUGUUAAACGAUUUGUUAUUAAUAUCUUACAAUUCAGUGCAGAUGGUUUUGAGCACUGAUCAGAUGAACAAAGAUGCUUAGUGACAGUUCAAUUUCCGGGUUGGAUUUGCAUCCUAAUCUUAGUCUAAAAAAAUUAGAAAGCGGUUUCCAGAUGAGCUGUAUAAUGUUUUACUUUCUUACUAACUUGCUGUAAUACUUCAGUCCUUAAGCAUAGAAAAUAAUGCCCAUUAUUAUAUUGGGUGAAAAGAAAGCUUUUUAAGAGUAAAACACGUAAUAGUAGUCUCAAAACUAUUUAUGUGGCAUAAGUUGUGGUGAAAUUGGUUCAUGAAGGUAGGUGGAAAUACAUAAAUAUGUGUAUUUGUCAGUUUAUCUAGAUAAGAAUUUUCCUGUAGAUUUGGUCAGCUGUAUUAGAUUUAAAUGUAGUUUGAGAUCUGGUUCAGAUGGAAAGUAGAUGAAGCUGGAAACUUUUGGCAGCAGCACAGAGGUGGAAUAGCUGAGAUAGAAUACGUGGUUGCUAAAGAAGACAGAAAUAUUUCUAAGGCAUAGAAGAUUUCCGUGUAGUGAGUGUGACAGGUUCUGGAUGUUUUCCACACUGGAAUGAUAAGAAAUACACAGAUCUUCCUCAGUAAACCUCUAUUUCUAGGCUAUGUGAGCUUCCAGUUGAAUCAGAAUUGAGAAAUGCAAUGUGCUAAAGGCAGCUCUUCUUAACCCUGUGAAUCUGAAGAAUCUGUCUCAUUCAUUGGAUGGCUCUAGGAAGAAAAAAGAACUUUUCUUUUUACAAUUUUUCUGAGUUUAUCUCUUUAUAUCAGCCGCCUCCUUAUUAUAAGCCAAAUAUAAAAGCCUGAGUCCCCCAACUGACUGAAUGGACCCACCCUCUUGGUCAAAGGGAACCAAAGAAACUGCAAAAACUAGUUCUGGCCAUAGCAGGAAGAAGAGCAUCAGACAUGUCUCCUCAUACACUCUCCCUUUUGGAGUUUAGACACAACUGAGCAGCAUUAACAUUAAAAUAGAGAUCCUAAGAUGGACAGAAAGAUUCCUUGUAGCAAUAAAAUACCAAAUUCCAACCUAACUUUAGUCUAGUAUCAUAUGACAGUUAAAAAAGGAAAUAAAAAUGUUUACCCCAAAAUAUCUUUCUUUGCCAUACUUUGAAAUGAUUCUGCAAAGCUGCCUUUUGUGGAGGAAAAUUUGCAUCUGUCAGGAAUAUCUAUUAACGCAACUAGAUCUUUCAAUAUUCCAGGCCCUCUCAAUCCUAAAGAGAUUAACAGAGAGUCUAGCACCUUUUAAAACUCUGAAUAGGAAACAUUUACUAUCUAUUGUAUCUAAGGGCAGCCAGCUAUGAGACUUCAUCUACAUGAUAAGAACCUCCCAACUCCUUAUCUUAAUUCAGACAUUUUCUUUCUAUUGAUUCCAGGUCUUUAGAUAAUAAUUUAACUCUUUCAACCAAUAGCAAUCAGAAAAUCUUUGAAUCCUCCUAUAACCUAUAAGCAACACCCCCACCCACUUCAAUUUCUCCUGCCUUUCUGGACUGAACCAACGUAUACGUUGCUUGUGGUAAUUAAUGUCUUAUGCCGUCUUCUCCUUG